GGAGCAGCAGGAUGCAAAAUCAAAACCAUUAUGGCUGUUAUUGACCAGAAUGACUCCAUUGAAACAAGAAGAACCUGCUGCCUCAAAGCACUAGCUUUGUAUCUCAAUGAAGACCCUGAGAAGUGAAGGAAUACACAAGUGAGAGCCCUGAUGACAUCCAGACAGAUCUGGAUCAGACAGUCAUCGGCAUCUAUGUG